AGUGAACGCUGGCGGUAGGCCUAACACAUGCAAGUCGAACGGGAGCACAGUAGGAGCGUGCUCUUACGGGAGGCGAGUGGCGGACGGGUGAGGGAUACAUCGGAAUGUACUGUUGCGGGGGGGAUAACGGAGGGAAACUUACGCUAAUACCGGAUACGACCGACGGGUGAAAGCAGGGGAUCGUCGGACCUUGCGGGAUGGAAUGAGCCGCUGUCGGAUUAGCGAGGUGGUGGGGGAACGGCCAACCAAGGCGACGAUGCGUAGCUGGUCUGAGGGGAUGAUCAGCCGCACGUGAACUGGGACACCGUCCCGACCCCUACGGGAGGCAGCAGUCGGGCAUAUUCGACAAUGGGCGCAAGCCUGUUCCAGCCAUACCGCGUGGGUGAAGCAGGCCUUCGGGUUGUAAAGCCCUUCUGUUGGGAAAGAAAAGCCGCCUGUUCAUACCGCGCUGUUCUGACGGUACCCAAAGAAUAAGCACCGGCUAACUUCGUG
rnacentral:rRNA from 1 species